rnacentral:rRNA from 1 species
CCGCCCUAGUUCUGACCGUAAACGAUACCAUCUAGCGAUCCGAUAGGGUCAUUUAGCCUUAUCGGGGAGCUUCCCGGAAACGAAAGUCUUUCGGUUCCGGGGGUAGUAUGGUUGCAAAGCUGAAACUUAAAGAAAUUGACGGAAGGGCACCACCAGGAGUGGAGCUUGCGGCUUAAUUUGACUCAACACGGGAAAACUCACCCGGUCCGGACACCAUAAGGAUUGACAGAUUGAUAGCUCUUUCUUGAUUUGGUGGUUGGUGGUGCAUGGCCGUUCUUAGUUGGUGGAGUAAUUUGUCUGGUUUAUUCCGAUAACGAGCGAGACUCUAGCCUGCUAAAUAGCUCGCGGAUAACUCUCGAGGUCCGUGCAAUGCUUCUUAGAGGAAUAGGCGGUGCUUAGCCGCACGAGAUUGAGCGAUAACAGGUCUGUGAUGCCCUUAGAUGUCCGGGGCUGCACGCGUGCUACACUGGAAGAGUCAACGUGUGCCUCAUCCAUCGCCGAAAGGCGUUGGUAAACCGUUGAAAUUCUUCCGUGACUGGGAUAGGGAAUUGUAAUUAUUUCCCUUGAACGAGGAAUUCCUAGUAAGUGCGAGUCAUCAGCUCGCGCUGA